CCCGCAGUAACUCAGACUGGCUAGAGUGCCCGGCUGUAGACCGGGAUAACUGGGUGCGUAUAGUACUCAGCCCCAACGUCGCUGGUUCAAAGUUUAUAGUGCAUCAUACACUAUAUUUGAAAGUCCGGCCUGCGGGACCA
rnacentral:tRNA from 1 species